CUUUUAUUCUCCCGCCUCCUCUCCCUUUUCAUGUUCAUCAGAACGUAAGUUGCAUAAAGGGCUUAGUUGAUGUAUACUUGUCAACAUAUCCCCCUCAAAACAAUGAAAUCUAUAAUUUUCCUUCCACUAAAAUAGGCAUGCAGAACGAUGUAUUGCAAAAAAUAGUGUGAAAUGUAUGGAUCAAAGGACAAAAUACACAAUGGGAUAAUUACGCAUUCAGUCAUAGUCUUUCAAAAUAUGGUUUGAAAACUCUGCUAAAGUCUUUGUUCUAUCUUUUUGUUUGCGUUUACGCAGUUUUGUGCACGGUCCACGGUCAAUGAACACAUUGUAUUUCAGUACAAUGAACGAAUCAUCCAAUAGCAGCGUUUCAGUUCAGUCAUUCAACCAUGCUAUUUAAAUAUUAAUAAGCCUAAAACAAAGGAUGUGCACGGUGUAAGGUACG